rfam:Triticum aestivum genome assembly, contig: Triticum_aestivum_CS42_TGACv1_scaffold_002496_1AL
GUUGUACUCCCUCCGUCCGGAAAAACUUGUCCCUCAAAUGGAUGUAUCUAGCACCAAGUUAGUGCUAGAUACAUCCAUUUGAGAAACAAGCUUGGGACAAGCUUUUUCGGACGGAGGGAGUAUUGA